UACGUAGGGUGCGAGCGUUAAUCGGAAUUACUGGGCGUAAAGCGUGCGCAGGCGGUUCGUUGUGUCUGAUGUGAAAGCCCCGGGCUCAACCUGGGAAUGGCAUUGGAAACUGGCGAGCUAGAGUGUGGCAGAGGGGGGUGGAAUUCCGCGUGUAGCAGUGAAAUGCGUAGAGAUGCGGAGGAACACCGAUGGCGAAGGCAGCCCCCUGGGUUGACACUGACGCUCAGGCACGAAAGCGUGGGGAGCAAACAGG
rnacentral:rRNA from 1 species